GACGAACCGUGCGAACGUUAUUCGGAAUCAUUGGGCUUAAAGAGCGCGUAGGCGGCGACGUAAGUUGGAAGUGAAAUCCCAUCGGCUCAACCGUGGAAUCGCUCCCAGUACUGCGUUGCUCGAGGGAGAUAGGGGCCUGUGGAACUGCCGGUGGAGCGGUGAAAUGUGUUGAUAUCGGGAGGAACACCAGUGGCGAAGGCGACUACCUGGCCUGUUCUUGACGCUGAGGCGCGAAAGCUAGGGGAGCAAACGGG
rnacentral:rRNA from 1 species